rnacentral:rRNA from 1 species
AACGCUGGCGGCAGGCCUAACACAUGCAAGUCGAGCGGUAGAGAGGUGCUUGCAUCUCUUGAGAGCGGGCGGACGGGUGAGUAAUGCCUAGGAAUCUGCCUAGUGGUGGGGGAUAACGUUCGGAAACGGACGCUAAUACCGCAUACGUCCUACGGGAGAAAGCGGGGGAUCUUCGGACCUCGCGCCAUUAGAUGAGCCUAGGUCGGAUUAGCUAGUUGGUGAGGUAAUGGCUCACCAAGGCGACGAUCCGUAACUGGUCUGAGAGGAUGAUCAGUCACACUGGAACUGAGACACGGUCCAGACUCCUACGGGAGGCAGCAGUGGGGAAUAUUGGACAAUGGGCAAAAGCCUGAUCCAGCCAUGCCGCGUGUGUGAAGAAGGUCUUCGGAUUGUAAAGCACUUUAAGUUGGGAGGAAGGGUAGUAACCUAAUACGUUGCUACUUUGACGUUGCCGACAGAAUAAGCACCGGCUAACUUCGUG